rnacentral:rRNA from 1 species
CCUACGGGAGGCAGCAGUGGGGAAUUUUGGACAAUGGGCGCAAGCCUGAUCCAGCAAUGCCGCGUGCAGGAUGAAGGCCUUCGGGUUGUAAACUGCUUUUGUACGGAACGAAACGGCUCCUAUUAAUACUGGGGGCUAAUGACGGUACCGUAAGAAUAAGCACCGGCUAACUACGUGCCAGCAGCCGCGGUAAUACGUAGGGUGCGAGCGUUAAUCGGAAUUACUGGGCGUAAAGCGUGCGCAGGCGGUUAUAUAAGGCAGAUGUGAAAUCCCCGGGCUCAACCUGGGACCUGCAUUUGUGACUGUAUAGCUAGAGUACGGUAGAGGGGGAUGGAAUUCCGCGUGUAGCAGUGAAAUGCGUAGAUAUGCGGAGGAACACCGAUGGCGAAGGCAAUCCCCUGGACCUGUACUGACGCUCAUGCACGAAAGCGUGGGGAGCAAACAGGAUUAGAUACCCUGGUAGUCCACGCCCUAAACGAUGUCAACUGGUUGUUGGGUCUUCACUGACUCGGUAACGAAGCUAACGCGUGAAGUUGACCGCCGNGGGAGGUACGGUCCGGCGAGGUUAGUUAAACGUUAAAGGUUAAAGUUAGUACGGCGUUGAGACGUUGCCGACGGACGACGACGAGGGAGGAGG